UGCACCUCUUGCGAAAUGAAAUUUCCUAUACAAAACCUAUGCAUAAAAAACGUCGCGAAAUGCUCGCGAAAAAAUUUUUCAUUUCCAUUUCGUAAGCGGUACGCAGCUCUCGCGAAAACGAUACCGAAAUUUCCAAUUAGCCGAGACACGGUUCGACAAACGAUAAGUUUCAUAUUACUUCCGCGAGAUUGCGCUGCUUUCUAUGCGCUGUCACUACGGCAAGCUUUUUCCUUGCGAAAUAAUGAUCAGUGGUAUUAUUCCGCUCGGAGGCUUGCGAAAUUUUGACAGAAUGCGAUAAAAAAAUACAAAAAAAAACAAGAUUUGUGAAUUUUUUGUAUUUUUUCAUCACAAGCUGUCAACAUGUAUAGAAUUUGCUUUUGCGAUGCAAUCGGUCGAAACGAUGGCAAGUGCUGCUGAUAACUGAGUCAAAAAGGCAGAGGAUCAGGAAAUUUAUGCUCUCGUAAGUGCCUAACCUGUUUUUGGAGCGAUCAUUGUUUCAUAGGAUUUGUAUUUUUCUUUUCAAUACAAAAGGUAGCGAUCCGAGUAUCACCAAGGAUAAGAAACCGGAGCCGGCGGUUGGCAGUCCGGAAAAAGAGGAUGCGGAAAAACCUAGUCCAUCGGCAGUAGAACCAGCGACGGUUGCUCCCGUAGAAACGGCUGAACCUGCAGUUUUGAGUUCGUUAAUUAUGGAAAUUCUGACUGGCUGCUCCUGAAGAAAGACAAGCUGCUAGUGGAAAUAGAAAAACAGCUUCCUACACGGAAGAUGCAGAUGCAUUCAACCCGGAGGAUGCAAAAAAACUUUCGAAGCUUUGCACAUGAAGCCGGAACUGCUUCAGGGAGUCUAUGCUAUGGAUUCCAACGCCCCUUCCAAGAUUCAGGAAACGGCUCUACCUACUCUGUUGGCCGAUCCGCCCAGCACAUGAUCGCCCAGUCAGUCAGAAACAAGAAAAACCGCUGCUUUCGCGCUGACAAUGCUCAGUCGAGUCGAUCCGUUAAAAAAACUAUCCGCAGGUGAUUUGCCUUUCCCUUACGUAUGAACUGGCAAAUCAGAAGGGGGUAGCAGCUGCCAAAAUUACAAAGUUAUGUCCGGAAAUCAAAUUUAGUUACCUCAUCCGCGGCGAGGAGAUUGUCAAAGGGGCGAAGCUGAUUAAUCAUAUCAUCAUCGAAACACCCGGUAAGCUGAUGGACUGGAAUAUAAAAUUCAGGCGUUCGACCUUGAGAAAUUGCCGUUUGUGUACUAAACGAAGCGGGCGUUAUGAUCGCUGUUCUUGGCCACGUACGAGCGGGAGGUAAUGGAGUUCGCCGAGUACAUCUUACCCGAUCCGAUCGUGAUUCAGCUAGCGCGGGAGCAAGAAUCACUAGAUAACAUCAAACAGCACUACAAUAAGUACCGCAACCAGGACGAGAAAUAUCAAGCAAUUUCGAUCAUCUUUGGCGUGAUUACCAUCGGAUAUGCGAUCAUUUUCUGUCGUGUGAGUAUAGGACAGUUGUGAUUGGCAUUGUUAAUCGAUGGAAACAGACACGCAAAACGGCCGAUAGGAUGGUCAUUCGGUAGCGGUACUGUCCGGUGAUUUAACGGUGGAGCAAUGGUUUGCCGGUCUGAAUCGAUUCCGAGCCGGACUAAAGAAGGUAUUGAUUACAACGAACGUUUUGUCUUGGGGUAUCGAUGUCGAACAGGUGACCAUUGUAAACUUCAUCCUGUCGAUGGAUCAGUAGAGACGAGCCGAUUGCGAAACGUAUCUGCAUCGAAUUGGACGCACCGGUAAAUUCUGCAUCGCCAUCAACCUGGUGGGCAGUGAUCGAAGCAUGAUGAUUUGCAGAUCAUUCGAAAAACACUUCCAGAAAAAGAUUCAGCUGCUAGACGCGGAGAAUUCGGACGUUAUUGAAAAGAUCGGAUCGUAGUGUUUUCGACCAGCUACUGGUGAAAGGCGCUGGAGCUUUUUUGGUUCAUUAUUGUUCCGAUUGUGAAUCUAUAACUUUAUUUAGCUCUAUCAGUUGAUUUCCUUAGGAUUUAAUUCAAGGAUCGGUAACGCGAGGAUUGUGAAGUGCAUGUUUAAUUGUUAUAACUUGGAGUUAAGUGAACCACAGAUAACAGACGUUUAAGCUCGAUUUGAAUCGUGUAUAAAAGCCCGCUACUGAAAUUCCGAAUAAAUUAGACGUCUGAAACACGUUUGGCAAACGUUUGCAGAUGACGCAGUGAUCAAUACAAUGCAGUUAGAGUGCAGCUGUUAAACACGUGUAGCAAACAGUUGCGCAGAUGGCAAUAGUGAAACACGGAUUUCCAACGUUUAUCAAUUUGAAAGUUUACACAGGUUUUUGAAGAAAUUUUGUUCUAGCCUAAACGUCUGUUAUCUGUGGGUAAACUCUUGAAGAAAACGACUUUGUUUUUUUAUUUUGUCGUUGGACGGCCAGUAGAGUAAAGUGGCAAGAAUUUUUCCAAAACACCUUGAAGAAGAAGAUGAAAAAUAUUUUGUUCAAUACCAUGUAAAUAAAUAUUUCAAGAAGAUAGAACAGACAGCUAUAAAACAGCAAAAAAAUCUAAAAGAAAUUAUAUAUGCUUCGAAGCGAUUUUCAUCGUUGGCGCCGUUUCCGUCGUCGUCAUCCUCAGUAAGUUGUUCCUUCUUAACAUCGAGUUCCACCAAUUGCGAUAGAUCGUCCUGUGUCAUCUCCUUUUGAUAGCCCAAGAACGAAUCACUCUUAUCCUGUUCCUGCUCAUGCUCCUUUCCACGAUCCUCGAGUGUAUCGAAACGACCGGCGAUGACAACAAACACUUUACACUUGGUGCACUUCCAUGCAAUUCGCCCUCGCUGAUCAACCGAUCCGAUGGGUACCGGUAGCAACUGUGCACGACAAACAGCUGACCCCGCUUGCCCGGAAUCAGUUUGUAAGCAAUCUGUUCGGCUUGUUUUUGCGUCCAACAUCUAACCUUCAAUGAUGGUUUUAUUUUCGCAGUCGUCCUGCGUGAAAAAAUUCAACCCUAAUUAUUUUUCUCACGUGUAAAUUUAAAACGACUUACCCCUCAGGCGCAUGGUUAUGUGCCCAUUUGCUAUUUAUUUAGUUAUUCAUUUACUAAUUUGUAUAUUUUUACAUUUGUUCUUUCAUUGUUGUGGGUGAAUGGAGAACAGUGAGUCUAGUUAUGUAAGGAAUGCAAACUAGGCUUGAUGGAACCUUGCCAGUCCUGGAUAUCACACACAUUUGGAGCAACAUCAGAUGUUUUUCAAGCCGUUCUCAACUCCUAUACGGCAGUUUUCACGCCGCCACCCGCGUAACGGCUUGAUAGUUGAUAUUCGAGCUUGUAGAACCAUUUGGGCGUACCAUAUAUGAGCUCCGACGGAAAUUGAGGAUGAAAUAGAUCUCUUCUAUGAGACAGUCGUCCGACGGUGUCGAAAUGCCGCAAGAGAUGAGCAGCGGUAAACUAGUUAUUCAAGAUGGGAAUGAGACACUUAAUUACCACCAUUGAAAUGAAAUCUGUU